rnacentral:rRNA from 1 species
UACGUAGGGUGCAAGCGUUAUCCGGAAUUAUUGGGCGUAAAGAGCUCGUAGGCGGUUUGUCGCGUCUGCUGUGAAAACUCAGGGCUUAACCCUGAGCUUGCAGUGGGUACGGGCAGACUAGAGUGCGGUAGGGGGAGACUGGAAUUCCUGGUGUAGCGGUGGAAUGCGCAGAUAUCAGGAGGAACACCGGUGGCGAAGGCGGGGUCUCUGGGGCAGUAACUGACGCUGGAGGAGCGAAAAGCGUGGGGGAGCGAACAGG